UACGUAGGGUGCGAGCGUUAAUCGGAAUUACUGGGCGUAAAGCGUGCGCAGGCGGUGAUGUAAGACAGAUGUGAAAUCCCCGGGCUCAACCUGGGACCUGCAUUUGUGACUGCAUCGCUGGAGUGCGGCAGAGGGUGGUGGAAUUCCCGGUGUAGUGGUGAAAUGCGUAGAGAUCGGGAGGAACCCCCGUGGCGAAGGCGGCCACCUGGGCAGACCCUGACGCUGAGGCGCGAAGGCGUGGGGAGCGAACGGG
rnacentral:rRNA from 1 species